rnacentral:lncRNA from 1 species
CACAGAUUGACUUUUAGUUGAUUGUGUGCUGACUAGCAGACGACGUCAAUUUGCAACAGCCAGUCUGCUUGUGGAAUGUGGCAUGGCCUACUCAUUAUAAUAGGAAAGAAAAAAAUGCCUCUUGUGUCACAUUUGAUGGUUCCUUUACCUAUCAAAUCUGUACCACAUUGGCAGAGGGUUCACAUGUAGGUGCUGAAUCAACUGGAAAACGUUCAAAAAAAGGGAAUUGAGAAUUACAUUUAUCAUCAGGCAUACCUCCAUUUCAGAAAAUUUUAUCGUAAACAUGACAAGUUGGAAAUUGAUUUACUGUUUACAUGUCACCUUAAGUGAUAUCAUUGCAUACCAGACUUUAUUCGGAUGCAAAAAAAAUUUCCCUCAUUUAAAAGGCAUGCAUGAUUUAAUGGUUGCAAUUUUGUAAUGAAGACAAAUGAAAGCUGCAGCUGUGGAAAAUAGAAUUGACAGAUUACAUUCAUCAUCAGACGCAUUUCAUUUUCAGAAAGUUUUGUCUUGAAGAUGACAACAGUUGCCAGUCGAUUUACAUGUCACCUUAAGUGAUGUCAUAGCAGGAGCUU